rnacentral:rRNA from 1 species
UACAGAGGUCUCAAGCGUUGUUCGGAUUCAUUGGGCGUAAAGGGUGCGUAGGCGGCGCGGUAAGUCGGGUGUGAAAUCUCGGAGCUUAACUCCGAAACUGCAUUCGAUACUGCCGUGCUUGAGGACUGGAGAGGAGACUGGAAUUUACGGUGUAAGCGGUGAAAUGCGUAGAUAUCGUAAGGAAGACCAGUGGCGAAGGCGGGUCUCUGGACAGUUCCUGACGCUGAGGCACGAAGGCCAGGGAGCAAACGGG